rnacentral:rRNA from 1 species
UACGAAGGGGGCUAGCGUUGCUCGGAAUGACUGGGCGUAAAGCGCACGUAGGCGGCUUUUUAAGUCAGAGGUGAAAUCCUGGAGCUCAACUCCAGAACUGCCUUUGAUACUGGAGAGCUUGAGUCCGGGAGAGGUGAGUGGAACUGCGAGUGUAGAGGUGAAAUUCGUAGAUAUUCGCAAGAACACCAGUGGCGAAGGCGGCUCACUGGCCCGGUACUGACGCUGAGGUGCGAAAGCGUGGGGAGCAAACAGG